rnacentral:rRNA from 1 species
UACGUAGGGUGCAAGCGUUGUCCGGAAUUAUUGGGCGUAAAGAGCUCGUAGGCGGUCUGUCGCGUCUGCUGUGAAAAUCCAGGGCUCAACCCUGGACCUGCAGUGGGUACGGGCAGACUAGAGUGCGGUAGGGGAGAUCGGAAUUCCUGGUGUAGCGGUGAAAUGCGCAGAUAUCAGGAGGAACACCGGUGGCGAAGGCGGAUCUCUGGGCCGUAACUGACGCUGAGGAGCGAAAGCCAGGGGAGCGAACGGG